UACAGAGGGUGCAAGCGUUGUUCGGAAUUAUUGGGCGUAAAGCGCGCGUAGGCGGUUACUCAAGUCGGAUGUGAAAGCCCUCGGCUUAACUGAGGAAGUGCACCCGAAACUGAGUAGCUAGAGUACCAAAGAGGGUCGCGGAAUUCCCGGUGUAGAGGUGAAAUUCGUAGAUAUCGGGAGGAACACCGGUGGCGAAGGCGGCGAUCUGGGUAGAUACUGACGCUGAGGUGCGAAAGCGUGGGGAGCAAACAGG
rnacentral:rRNA from 1 species